UCUCCCCCUUCUCUCUCUAUUUUUCUCUCUCCCGUUCGCCCUCUCCCCCGCCUCCUCUACUAUGUUGCUACGGGGUCGGCACGAAAUGGUGCGAGAGCAUACCGUUCCAUGCCACCGAGCAACCGGUCUGGGCCUCGUUUCCGGCACAGCAGACCCUGAUCAAAAGUAAAUAAAAAGAUGAAAAGAGACAAAAAAACCAAGACAACAACUGGUCAAACAAUGAAAUAUAGCAACAGGUACAUAUGGGAAGGCCAAUAAGCCAACAUAACAGCUUCUAUACAUAAUGAAACUCACAGCAGAAAAAUAUCAGUGAUUCUUUAAUUCAGAUGCAAGGGAUCCAUGCAAGCAAAGAACCAAGUAG
rnacentral:lncRNA from 1 species